AGAAUGUUCCACUAAAAGUCAUGCUGUCUGUCUCUACGACAAACCAGAAUGUUCCGGUAAAAGUCAUGCUGUCUGUCUCUACGACAAACCAGAAUGUUCCGGUAAAAGUCAUGCUGUCUGUCUCUACGACAAACCAGAAUGUUCCACUAAAAGUCAUGCUGUCUGUCUCUACGACAAACCAGAAUGUUCCACUAAAAGUCAUGCUGUCUGUCUCUAUGACAAACCAGAAUGUUCCGGUAAAAGUCAUGCUGUCUGUCUCUAUGACAUACCAGAAUGUUCCAUUAAAAGUUAUGUCUCUACGACAAACCAGAAUGUUCCACUAAAAGUCAUGCUGUCUGUCUCUAUGACAAACCAGAAUGUUCCGGUAAAAGUCAUGCUGUCUGUCUCUAUGNNNNNNNNNNUGUCUGUAGUAGUUUACUAGAGGUCAGUGCUUUGUCUGUAGUAGUUUACUAGAGGUCAGUGCUUUGUCUGUAGUAGUUUACUAGAGGUCAGUGCUUUGUCUGUAGUAGUUUAUCAGAGGUCAGUGCUUUGUCUGUAGUAGUUUACUAGAGGUCAGCCAUCUGUACGGGGUAAAUACGUCUCAGCCAGCCUGGCUCAUGUUUGGGAUAAACCAUGCCAGAUGUGUGGUAGGGAAGAUUUCAUCUCUGCCAUUGCAAUGGAUUGGAAACAGAUAAUGAGAUGAAAUGGACCAAUAAUCUCUGAGAAGGUUGCUGGCUGACCUGUUCUUCUUGAACACUGUUUUUGUAAACCAACCUUCUUGUUUGUGUAUUUUUAUCUUAUAUUUGUAUGUUUGAUUAAACCCCAGGAAGAGUAGCUGCUGUCUAGUAUCUAAUGGGGAUACUAAUAAACCACAUUAAACCUGCCUGGAGACUGGAGGAAGAAUAUUUCUCAUAUUGAAUUGUAGUGUUGUGAUUUCCAAUCCAUGGAAUUAGGCAACUAUGAUAUUUGAAUAAACUGUGAUGUGUAAUAUUCAAGAGUCCCCCUCCCCCCUAUCAUAUUCCAUUUCAUAAAGCUCGCUAGCUUGUUGUCCUAAAUCAUCGGAAAUUAAUGGGGAAAAAAAUAGAGCUUUGGAAUUAAUGCUGAAAAUAAGGUCUGUGGUUAACACAGGUUUAAGAGAUAAUAUCAGUCAGUUGACAUGACAUUUAUGGGCUUUAUGGCCUUUAAAAAAAAAAUUAUGCUUAAGAAUUCACAAAACGUGUCAUUAGUUGUUUAAAUUUUUUUUUAACCUUUAUUUAACUAGGCAAGUCAGUUAAGAACAAAUUCUUAUUUUCAAUGACGGCCUGGGAACAGUGGGGUUAACUGCCUUGUUCAGGGGCAGAACGACAGAUUUGUACCUUGUCAACUAGGGAUUCGAUCCAGCAACCUUUCUAACUGCUUGGCUACCUGCCGCCUCGUGGAAUAUGGAGAUUGGCUCAUAGGACAAAACAUAUAAGAUCUCCUACCACCUUAUUUUCAGCAUUUAUCCAAAAACCAUACAAAAAAAAAAUGAGUAAGUUCCUAAAACAAAACAUGAUUACUCUCUAUUUGUAGUGGUUUCAAUCUGUGUGCCGCAUUCACGUGCUAGUCGGAACUAGGAAACUCUGAAAUGUCCGACUUGCUGACUAUAACUACAACCUAUUAGCAAAUCGCACAUUUCAGAGUUUCCUAUUUUUCCGACUAGCACGUGAACGCGGUAAUAAUCUCUCAUGUAUACUGAGCAAAAAUAUAAACGCAACAUGCAAAACUUUCAAAGAUUUUACUGAGUUACAGUUCAUAUAAGGAAAGCAGUCAAUUUAAAUAGAUUCACUACAGAAGGUAGAGGGGCGUGGAUCAGAAAAACCAGUCAGUACCUGGUCACCACUUGCCUUGUGCAGGAUGACACAUUUCUUUCACACAGAGUUGAUCAGGCUGUUGAUUGUGGAAUGUUGUCCCCGCUCCUCCUCAAUGGCUGUGCGAAGUUGCUGGAUAUUGGCGGGAAUUGGAACACGCUGUCGUACACGUCGAUCCAGAGCAUCCCAAACAUGCUCAAAUGGGUGACAUGUCUGGUGAGUGUGCAGGCCAUGUAAGGACUAUGACAUUUUCAGCUUCCAGGAAUGGUGUAUAGAUUCUUAGUGACAUGGGUACUAGCAGUGGCGCAGUGGUCUAAGGCACUGUAUCUCAGUGCAAGAGGGUUCACUACAGUCACUGAUUUCAAAUCCAGGCUGUUUCACAUCUGGCUGUGAUUGGGAGUCCCAUAGGGUGGUGCACAAUUGGCCCAGCGUUGUCUGGGUUUGGCCGGGGUAGGCUGUCAUUAUAAAUAAGAAUUUGUUCUUAACU
rnacentral:lncRNA from 13 species